GUAGGAGUAGCUUAACUGGCUAGAGCGCGCGGUUUGGGGCCGUGAUGGUGUCCGUUCGAAUCGGAUCUCCUGCA
rnacentral:tRNA from 1 species